GGCAAGAACUGCAGGAUAUAGGAGUGAGCUUGGCAAGCUACCCCCCUUCCCUUUGCCUGGCGCCCCACCUGCUUCUUCCCUAGAGCUUGCAGGUUUUCCCAGCAACGGCUGGAGGCAGGAGUCCCCAGGGGUGUCUCCAAUCGAUCCUUGCCCCAGGAUUUCCCAGGUCAAGAUCACGUGGUGGCCACCGGCAGGACCGCCAACAUGUUAGAUGCGGUCCCCACUAUUAUUCCGUUUAUAGGACUCGUUUAAAUCAAGGUACUUUAAAAAAAAUGUAACUAUUGUUCUAGGCAAUAACAUCUGCAAAAGCAUGGUUUUGAUGGUGCUAGUUGUAUUUUCCUAAUACAUAUUAGCAUAAAUCGUUAUUACUAGAAUAGCAUAGCACAGUGGUUAGAAGCACAGGUGCUGACUGUGUUUAAAUCCAGGUUCUAAAAAAAUAAAUUAAUUAAAUAAAAUAUUAAAAAUAUAAAUAAAUAAAUAAAUAAAUAGGUAGGUAGAUAGAUAGAUAGAUAAAUAAAUUCAGGUUCUGCACCACCAUCUGGGUGAUCUUGGACAAGUUUGUUAACUGAUCUGUGCCUUGGGCUCAUGGUCUGUGAAAUAAUAACACCUAUUUCAGGAACCACUAUAAGGAAUAAGUUAGUUAAUAUUUGUUAAACAUUUAUACCAUCUAGAACCUUCUACACAAACAACACCUUUGGGAACACUGAAGGCACAGAAGCGUACACCAUCUAUUACCUCGAGAUGGGCUUACACACUUCCUCUGCUUUGCAAUGCUCUGUUGGGCCCUCCCCCUUCAUCCAAACACCAGAAACAAAACCAACGGACACACACUCUCAUCCCUGCUCUCCUGAACGCCGACCUGUCAUAAGGUCCGCCUUAAAUGGAUAUCAGAGUAAUUACAACCACUUAUUGAGCAUUUAUUAUUCUGCAGGCCCUGUGCUCAGUACUUUGAGUACAACUGUCUAACUUCCUCUUUAUUCUUUAUUCUUCCUCUAUGAGGAAGACUCGGGCUUAAAGAGAUUAGGUGAUUUUCCUAAGAUCUUACAACCAGUAGGCAGGCGAGUCGGGAUUCAAACCCAGGUCCACCCACAUAACCCAGCCUAGGCAUAGCCUCCUAAGCCAUGAGACCCCAGCGCCAGAGCCCCUCUUCCAGGGGCCCAUCUCAGCAACCAGCCAGAGAGAGCCUUCUUUCCCCUCCCCUUGCAGGACCUCCCCCACUGGACUUAGUCACCACUUUAUAACAUAAUUACUUACCUGUUUGUCUUUCCCCCUCUGUUAUUCAGAGUAGUCUUUUCUAUGUUAAGCACUUUAGGGAGGAAAUCAUUUUGAAAUUUCCCUAAGUUUGAAAAAGAGUUGCAUUAUACGGAGCUGAGUUUAAUAACCUUUUCCCUACAAUUCCAGUCAUCUUUAUCAACACCAAAUAUAAUAAUGUUUUUUGACACAAAUGUGACUUGAGGGCAACCUUUCUCUGCACAUUACGGGAUGACUGUGAACAAACAGAUGCCGGAGCCCGUCUCUGGAGCUACUAACUCAGAAUCUCUGGGUUAAGGACCAGGAGUCACUCAAGUUUCAGAAUGACUGCCUCAGGCAAUGGCUCGACAUUUGACCCCGCUUCAAACUUCUAGACACUGACUGUGUUUUAGUUCUUGUGUCUGCUUUUCAUGGUGUUCCUGACCUCUCCCACCAUGCAAGUUGACAGCUACCAUUCCUCACUGCCAACUAACAACGCUGCAUGAAUUUACCCUGUUUUAUCUUCUAGCCACCAAUGCUGACGUUUCCAAACUCUGCUUUUAGCUCUGGAACACUUCAUUGAAAACUGGUUUUUAGGCAGAUGCCAAUAAAAAACACACAACCCAGAGCUAUCCCAAUGGAACAUGAGUGGUUGGCCUGGAGUCCAACGCUGGUCUCCUUUAUCGCCACUGACCGUCAUCACUACCACCUAUGGUGGCACUGAGGGCACUGAAUCCCUCCCCAGAUUCCCUACACUUCGUGGAGAGCAUUUUCAAAAUCACAGAAAUAAUGCAACUUUCUGGCAGAUCUUGCCACAACUUCAGAGACAGAUACCUUAUCUUUUAUAAACAUUCAAGAUUGUCAGAAAAAUAUUUUUUCCAUGAGAAUUUGUCAGUGUAGCCCAAAGUCAAGUGUGUAUUCCUUUUUAUUGGAGAAGAUAUCACCGAAUUUAUAAAUAGCCCCUAUACUGUACUUGCAAAGUCACUCCUUAGAGGUAUUUUUUACAUGGAAAAGGAUGGUCUUGUAUUAGUAAUUGGACUACCGUCUACUUUUGAAAGGCUCUCAAAAAAAUCAUGGUCAAGGGAAUUUGCUUUUUCAAAAAAAAAAAAUCUCUCUUCUGUGAAAGAGAAUGUCAGAGCAUCCAGAAAAACUUUGUAACCUUUAAAAUUGUAGAUAUCUUAUAUUGGCCAUGUUCUAAAUAUGUUAGUAUAUGAAUAGUCUUAAAAUAAAUUUCAAGCACUGGUUUUUAAACUUGAAAAAAAAAUUUAAGCCAAGUUUUCUUGCUGCUCUUUUCGGCUUUUUCCUCCAAAACUUAUAAUUUUGAGGUGCAGAAUUGAGGAAGUAAAUAUAACAUAUGUGCACUAGAGGUGGGAGGGAGGAUGUUGUAUGUGUGAUUUCUCUGGUAAAUUAGGACAAGGUUCAAAGUCCUAUCUAUGGUGAGAGAUUGUCAAUGUGACUGAAUAUUGAUAAUUAAUUCAUAUAGGUAAAAAAAAAAGUGUUCAGAGUGUUCCUUAUGCUAAUCUUUCCACUUUUUUUGGCAGCUCUGCAAUUUGUCAAAAUAAAAUUGGAGGGAGAUGUUCAAAAGCAGAUACAAAUAAAGCACAGGCAUACACAUACGGCUAAAAUAUUCAACAGGUCUGGACUAGGGUGAAGAAAGGAAGGCAUCUGAGGUGCAAAAUUUAAGGAAGUAGCUGGGGGAACCCUGAGCGUGAGUCGUCCCUGGCGCUGGCACGACUCUGAGAGCCAGGGCCUCCUUAAAUGUCACACCCUACGUGUCUUACUUGUUUUGCCCUGGAUUGGCCCUAAUAUUUUCAACCUGUUUUCUCAAACUGAUUGUUGCAGUCCUGGGGAGCAAUGCUUCAAGUCAUUUUCAUCCAUGCAUUCAUUCACUCAUUUAUCCUCCAAACAUGUAUCGAGUCCCAGCUACGUGCUACGUGACUACUCAGCUAGGAACCCACUCUGCUUAAAACCGUUUUGACUCUCAGAUGAAAUAAUCUUCAGCCAAAUUUGCGUCAUUCAUUUAAUCAUCUGCGUGUUAUGUGCUGGGGACACUGUGACGACAGGCCAGUCCCUGCUAAAAUAUCUUCCCGUCUGCCAGCCAUCGCCUUCAUACUAUCAUUUUUAUUGGCAUCAGCAUCAUCCUUUACAUGUCUGUUGCCCCAAUUUGAUUAAACUAUUCCAGGACAGGGAAUGGGCGUUAUUCAUCUUUGUUUUUUCAGCCAGCUAACGUUGACUGGGUGCUCACAACUUGCCCUGUAUUUUCUCAGCCCCUUCUAUAGGUUCACUCAAUUCCACCCUGCACCAAGGCUAAGAUUCACCUUUCAUAGGUAAGCAAACGGGAGGCACUAAGUGUCUUUCCUAGGGUCGCACAGCAUGCAAGAGGCCAGGCCAGGAUCCUAUCGAGGAGCCUAGCUCUGGAGUCUACUAUCUCAGCAACUCCACUAAGCCAUCCAGAAAUUAUGACCCAAAGAGCUGCUCCCAGCUCCAAAGGGCACUCAGCCACAGCUUGCUCUUCACCCAUUAUUACCUAGAAAGAUCUAGAGGGCACCAGGGACGCUCUCGGCGAAAUGAGCCUCAACUCCCACCGCCUGGGCAGGCAAGUCAGAUUUUGGGGGACUUCCUGCUUAAUUUCACUUUGUCUAAAUAUAACCAACUAAAAAUAACCCGAAAGCAAAGUGUCUCAGAACCGCCAGAGGAGCAGCAGAAGGCUGCAGGGGACGUGAUGUGAAAGAUUGAUCUCAGCCUCCCUAAAACGCUGCGAUGCUUUCCAACAUCAGCAAGUUGCAUAUUGUGAUGAGAAAACAAAGUUUCCAAUUAUUGAAAUUCCAUAGUGUAUUUAAUUACGCAAUUAUCUUAUUGUAUUAACAAGAGCCGGGGUGCAGCAGCAGCGGUUGCUGAGAUUUUUGCAGUGGAGAAGUACAGAAUUUAUUCUUUCCCUCAGCUGAUUGUUUCUCACGAGUCCAUCCAUUUUUCUGGGAUUUUGGAAAUGAUCCUGUUUCUGAACCGCUUCAUUCAGAAAUCCAAGGCAAAUCGCACCGCACUUUUGCCACUCCGACUUUGAAGCAUGACCCCAGUACAGACUGAGCAUAUUUCAGGGGGAAAUGUCUGCAAAUUCACCUCCUUUUUAUUUUCAUUAAUCAUUUCAGGCUCUUUCCUCUUUUGAAAUUCAAAUAAAUAUAAUGUAAAUAUAAAUAAAAAACACUUAUACAAAUUACAUAUUUUCAGUGAUGCAAACACAAAUACAUUCUUGUUCAUUUGCUUAAUAGGGACUUGUCCCAAAGGAUUCAAGUAUCACGCCGCAAAAGCCAGCGUAUUUCAUCAAAACAUCUGAAAUAGGUAUACUGUGAUAUUAUCAUGCACUUCUAUUUGCCACAGUUACCCUGGAAAAUAUUAAAUGUAAUCAUGCAAAAUUAAACAUUCUAUACAUUUUCUAUUCAUUUUUGAACGUUCUCCCUCUAUUCCAAAAUAGGCUAUCACACUUUCAAGUUUAUAGGGACAAAAAGUGAAUCAAAUGUCUUGUUUCUGAAAGCCUUUUCACUUUUCACUUAGGCCUUUUCAUCUCAGAAU
rnacentral:lncRNA from 1 species